rnacentral:rRNA from 1 species
GUGGGGAAUCUUCCGCAAUGGACGAAAGUCUGACGGAGCGACGCCGCGUGAGUGAAGAAGGCCUUCGGGUCGUAAAGCUCUGUCAUCAGGGACGAACGGCCGGUGGAGUGGAAAGCCACCGGAUUGACGGUACCUGAGAAGGAAGCCACGGCUAACUACGUGCCAGCAGCCGCGGUAAUACGUAGGUGGCAAGCGUUGUCCGGAAUUAUUGGGCGUAAAGCGCGCGCAGGUGGGAUCUUAAGUCCAUUUUGAAAGUUCGGAGCUCAACUCCGUGAUGGGAUGGAAACUGGGAUUCUUGAGUACCGGAGAGGAAAGCGGAAUUCCCCGUGUAGCGGUGAAAUGCGUAGAUAUGGGGAGGAACACCAGUGGCGAAGGCGGCUUUCUGGACGGUGUCUGACACUGAGGCGCGAAAGCUAGGGGAGCAAACGGGAUUAGAUACCCGGGUAGUCC